rnacentral:rRNA from 1 species
CUACGGGCCGCAGCAGUGAGGAAUAUUGCACAAUGGGGGGAACCCUGAUGCAGCAACGCCGCGUGGAGGAUGACGCAUUUCGGUGUGUAAACUCCUUUUAUAUGUCAAGAAAAUGACGGUAGCAUAUGAAUAAGCGCCGGCUAACUCCGUGCCAGCAGCCGCGGUAAUACGGAGGGCGCAAGCGUUACUCGGAAUCACUGGGCGUAAAGGACGCGUAGGCGGGUUGAAAAGUCAGGUGUGAAAGCCUACAGCUUAACUGUAGAACUGCACUUGAAACUCUCAAUCUAGAGUAUGGGAGGGGCAGAUGGAAUUAGUGGUGUAGGGGUAAAAUCCGUAGAUAUCACUAGGAAUACCUAAAGCGAAGGCGAUCUGCUGGAACAUUACUGACGCUAAGGCGUGAAAGCGUGGGGAGCAAACAGGAUUAGAUACCCUGGUAGUC